AUUGAACGCUGGCGGCAGGCUUAACACAUGCAAGUCGAGCGAGCGGCGGACGGGUGAGUAAUGUCUGAGAAACUGCCUGAUGGAGGGGGAUAACCACUGGAAACGGUAGCUAAUACCGCAUACCAUACGAUGUGCCCAGGUGGGAUUAGCUGGUAGGUGGGGUAAUGGCUGACCUAGGGGGCGAUCCCUAGCUGGUCUGAGAGGAGGACCAGCCACACUGGAACUGAGACACGGUCCAGACUCCUACGGGAGGCAGCAGUGGGGAAUAUUGCACAAUGGGCGCAAGCCUGAUGGAGCCAUGCCGCGUGUGUGAAGAAGGCCUUCGGGUUGUAAAGCACUUCCAGCGAGGAGGCGUUACUCGCAGAAGAAGCACCGGCUAACUCCGUGCCAGCAGCCGCGGUAAUUC
rnacentral:rRNA from 1 species